UACGUAGGGGGCAAGCGUUGUCCGGAAUCAUUGGGCGUAAAGCGCGUGUAGGCGGUUCGGUAAGUCCGCUGUGAAAGUCGGGGGCUCAACCCUCGGAUGCCGGUGGAUACUGUCGAGCUUGAGUACGGAAGAGGCGAGUGGAAUUCCUGGUGUAGCGGUGGAAUGCGCAGAUAUCAGGAGGAACACCAAUAGCGAAGGCAGCUCGCUGGGACGUUACUGACACUGGGGCGCGAAAGCGUGGGGAGCGAACAGG
rnacentral:rRNA from 1 species